CACGCAUUAACUAAAGAUGUAUUUAAAACAAUUUAUUUUGAUUGCGUCUACAAUAAUCUGUGCUGGCGCUGAGUUGUGUGACAUACAAGAAAUGUAUCUGAAUUUCUUUGUGCAAAUGGAAAGUGUUAAGAAAUCGAUUGAUAUAUUAAAAGUACGCGUGGAUGUUUUAAGUGAUAAAAAUCCCUGCAGCAAUUGUGGUCAUAUGGAAAACAAAGUAUUUGAAAAUUUUGA